rnacentral:rRNA from 1 species
GACUAACGCUGGCAGUGUGCCUUACACAUGCAAGUCGGACGGAGGACUUCGGUCCUUAGUGGCAAACGGGUGAGUAAUGGAUAGGUCAUCUACCGGGAAGCGGGGAAUACCCCCUCGAAAGAGGGAACAAUACCCCGUACGCUCCUCACGGAGGAAAGGCGGUGCAAGCCGUCGCUUUCCGAUGAGCCUAUCUCCUAUCAGCUAGUUGGUGAGGUAAUAGCUCACCAAGGCGAUGACGGGUAGCUGGUCUGAGAGGAUGAUCAGCCACACUGGAACUGAGACACGGUCCAGACUCCUACGGGAGGCUG